rnacentral:rRNA from 1 species
GGGUUGUGAGGUUAAGCGACUAAGCGUACACGGUGGAUGCCCUGGCAGUCAGAGGCGAUGAAGGACGUGCUAAUCUGCGAUAAGCGUCGGUAAGGUGAUAUGAACCGUUAUAACCGGCGAUUUCCGAAUGGGGAAACCCAGUGUGUUUCGACACACUAUCAUUAACUGAAUCCAUAGGUUAAUGAGGCGAACCGGGGGAACUGAAACAUCUAAGUACCCCGAGGAAAAGAAAUCAACCGAGAUUCCCCCAGUAGCGGCGAGCGAACGGGGAGGAGCCCAGAGCCUGAAUCAGUGUGUGUGUUAGUGGAAGCGUCUGGAAAGGCGCGCGAUACAGGGUGACAGCCCCGUACACAAAAAUGCACAUGCUGUGAGCUCGAUGAGUAGGGCGGGACACGUGGUAUCCUGUCUGAAUAUGGGGGGACCAUCCUCCAAGGCUAAAUACUCCUGACUGACCGAUAGUGAACCAGUACCGUGAGGGAAAGGCGAAAAGAACCCCGGCGAGGGGAGUGAAAAAGAACCUGAAACCGUGUACGUACAAGCAGUGGGAGCACGCUUAGGCGUGUGACUGCGUACCUUUUGUAUAAUGGGUCAGCGACUUAUAUUCUGUAGCAAGGUUAACCAAAUAGGGGAGCCGAAGGGAAACCGAGUCUUAACUGGGCGUUAAGUUGCAGGGUAUAGACCCGAAACCCGGUGAUCUAGCCAUGGGCAGGUUGAAGGUUGGGUAACACUAACUGGAGGACCGAACCGACUAAUGUUGAAAAAUUAGCGGAUGACUUGUGGCUGGGGGUGAAAGGCCAAUCAAACCGGGAGAUAGCUGGUUCUCCCCGAAAGCUAUUUAGGUAGCGCCUCGUGAAUUCAUCUCCG